rnacentral:rRNA from 1 species
AGCAGCCGCGGUAAUUCCAGCUCCAAUAGCGUAUAUUAAAGUUGUUGCAGUUAAAAAGCUCGUAGUUGAAUUUCGGGGUUAGUAGGUUGGUCAUGCCUCCGGUAUGUACUGGUCUCACUGAUUCCUCCUUCCUGACGAACCGUAAUGCCAUUAAUUUGGUGUUGCGGGGAAUUUGGACUGUUACUUUGAAAAAAUUAGAGUGUUUAAAGCAGGCUAACGCUUGAAUACAUUAGCAUGGAAUAAUGAAAUAGGACGUUCGAUCCUAUUUUGUUGGUUUCUAGGAUUGACGUAAUGAUUAAUAGGGAUAGUUGGGGGCAUUAGUAUUCAAUUGUCAGAGGUGAAAUUCUUGGAUUUAUUGAAGACUAACUACUGCGAAAGCAUUUGCCAAGGAUGUUUUCAUUAAUCAAGAACGAAAGUUAGGGGAUCGAAGACGAUCAGAUACCGUCGUAGUCUUAACCAUAAACUAUGCCGACUAGGGAUCGGAUGAUGUUAAUUUUUUAAUGACUCA